AUGCCGGAAGACAUGCAAGUGAACGAGUUUCUUGAUCAUCGAUGGGCGGGACCGACAAAUGUGGCUGGUUCAAGUAGGAGGGAGCUUACACCGGCAUUCUCAGGAGGCGUGAAGCAGCUGCUAGGUGCGCCCAAGCACUGGAAAGGCAAGGAAUCAUCAACCAUGGUUUCCCUUGUGCCACAAAUGAAACAAAAAAAAAUCCAUAAAUACUUCUGUUGCAAAGGGACUGUAUCUACAUUAGUAUAUGUGCAGAUGACUAUUUCCUUAUAUCGCAUCAUAUCAACUCAAUCCAAUAAUUUCAAAUCCAAAUGA
rnacentral:rRNA from 1 species